rnacentral:misc_RNA from 1 species
GCACAUCUUAUUGAAUAAAAUAAACUAAUGAACAUCACCCUUAAAAGAUUACAUGAGAAUUUCCAGAAGAGGGAGGGAUCUCUUGGAUAUUUACAGUGAAGAAACACAACUGCACAACCAAAAGUGGGGUGGGGGGUGUUACACAAUGAAUGCUUCUCUCAGUAUUUCUAUCUACUCUUUCAACUUUCUUCUGUUUUCUACCCAAUUCCUUUCUACAUCUGUGACAAUUCACUAUCUAAAUGGACUAUAAAAAGGCAAAAAGUGGGUGAUGCAGAAAAAAUAAAAUGAACCCAGAAAAAAGAUAGGGUGUUAGCGGAAUAUAUUCCUGCUCAGCUGAGUAUUAUGAUUGCCAAAACAGUUCAAAGUCAUUGCUGUACAACGACCUGUCUUGAAUCUCCAGAUUAGCAACAUGCCAGUUUAAGAGCUGCAAUUGGAUACAUUUACACAGAACCAGUGCAAAAGGAAAUAUCCACCACUCACUUUCAUCCAUGUUCCAUGGCUGGAAGUAAGGAAGCUUUCUGCUUGACUGAGUGAUAUAGUGAACAUAUCCACAGACAAAUGCGACAAUAACAUUAAUCAGGGAUGUAAUGUUCCACAAAGCAUAAACACGUGCAAGACCAGCAGAACGCCUUUGCCCCUGACUGAAGAGAGCAUUAAUUCCAGCAGGAAAUGGAAGUAACAUCCCAAGAGGUAAAACAAACAAAACCAAAAACACAUCUGCCAAGGAAAUCGAAUACAGCUGGAGCAGAGUAAGCAGCACUAAACUAAAAUCGCCCAGCAGCAAUAUCGAAAUGACCAAACCAACAAGAUCCUGAUGACCAACUGGUUUAGUGUUAUGGAUUAGAAAAGAGAGAACAUAAAACAGAUCUCUUUUCUCCUUGAGCAUCUUUAAGCUGUCAAUGUCUAAAAUCCCACCAUAAAAGUUCCGCUUUACAGUGCCUUUGUCAACCCCCCUUAAAAUUGAUUCAUCUCUUAGAUAGCCCGCAGGAUUCUGCCCAUCUAUGCUGCUAUCACAUGAUAGUUGUUCACUUCUGGAACCUUCAUCAAGAUCUUCAAAAGGCAGUAGUCCAGCUUCUUCAAUAACACACACCAAAAGUCCAAACUGAGUAUAGCUGUCAGUUGUUGCUUGGAAUGACGCCAGAUCGACGCGGAUACCAUAGAUCCUUAAAGCAGGAUUGGCAAAAGUUUCAAGCCAUCUAAGCACUGGGCGAAACAUUGUACUAAGGCAACCCCGGCGUACUAAACGCAACUGAGCAUUCAAACCAGCCACAAGACGGUACCAUGUCGUAGGAGGAAUGGACUGACUCAUCAGACUGGUAAUAACGUUAUCAUUAUUCAAAGAGAGUGGAGCCAUAUAACUUCCAUCACCACCAAAUAGAAGAGACAUCGGAAACCUCUGGUGAAGACUAGGAGGCAAAUCGCUUCGCUUCUCAUCACCGCCAAGAAAAAAGUCCACAUAUGCCAGCAUUAGAUCAGGUGUUGCUGCAACCUUCAGCCCCUCAUAAAGAGCACGUGAUCGACAAGAACGUAAGC